UGCAGAUUCGGAUCUCCCUUUUUUAUAAUGUAAUUGUAUUGUACUUAUAUUAUUCUGUUCAUUGAUUUUUCUUAGUUCUAUAAAGGUUCAUAAACCUACAGUGAAAACGGUGUAUAGCCAUUUGCAUGUCACACGCAGCAUAGCAACCAGGUCAUGUUUCCCUUGGUAUUACAUGUAUUACAUAUUUUAUUAAAUAUUUUUUAUUGGAUGAAAAGUAUUUAACAUGAGAGCAUGCCCCUCUUAUUCAAAACCACCCUCUCGAUUUCUGUAAAAGAUAGACAGCGACAUGGGCAGGAUGUUUAGACAGCAACACGUAAACAUUUUCCCUGCAGGCCUUCUUUAAAUAAGAAAUCAAGCAAAAGCCCCGUUAGAUCAGCUAAUACUCAAUCUGAUGCGAUAUGCCGCCCUGGUCGCGGCGUCCUGUGGUAAUGUUGGACAUUUUUGCACAUGAAUAUUGUUUGUAUAAUGCAGUCAUAAUAUUUACGCAGGGACGCAGCAGGAGUGAGGUGGAAGCUCUGCCGAGCUGUGAGUGCAGAAACUCGGACGGGGACUUGAGAUCGACUCCUGCAGGCACUUUACUCGAAAGAUCCAGAAUGAAGGCUGGAGUGGGCAGGCGUGCGGCUUUGGCCACAGGAAGCCGCGAAUUCUUCGGAGAAUGGAAGAUGUCUUAUGGGGAGACAUACUGGCCUCCACCCACCCACUCUCCACCCCCAAAAUGACACCUGACCCCUUCACGUGUUUAUAUCAGACCAUGGAAGUGAGAAAUAGUGAUGAGUCACUCUGGCUGUGUGUUUACACUCCGGAGUCACGCAAGGAAGGAAAUCAGCCACGGUCUGCUAAAAGUGGGGAGGUGAGAGAGAAUAGCUGCAGUCCCCCAGCGCUGCAGUGAUUUACCUCUCCGCAGCAGAGAUGACUUGAAAUACAUUCUGUUCUCUGACUUCAGACCAACAGAAAACAGAAAACAGAAACUUUAGCAGCGCUGCCGAGGGAAAGGCAACCAGAGGGGGUUUGUGUUUGGGUUGUUGCAUAAACAGUGAAUGUAAAAUACAUUUUAGGAAAAAAAGAAAUAUCAGUCUUAAGACGGUGUCUAUAGCAUCCCGUUGCUUUCUAAUCAAACAUACGUCGCUCCAAACAUCCCAGAAAAACUGUGUUCAGCUUGACGAUGAAAUGUUUCCUGUGUAUUUCGACUUGAAAUGUUUUCAGCAAUGUUUUCUUCUCAGCUACAAAGAAAGCGUCGAAUUACUCAAUUUAUUAGAAGAAAUUCACCAAACCGAAAGGAUAUUCUUAUUCAGAUCUUCUUUAUUUUAUUUUUGGUAUAUCCUAUUGUUAUAUUAAAAUUCAAAGAAAAAAACUAUUUGAAUCAUUUUACUUUUAUACACAAUUUAAAAGGACUUCCUGCAAUAGAAAAGCAACUGAAGGCCACAACAACACCUCCCGUAGACAUUAUUAUGCAGUGCUUUGUUUCUUUUUCUUGAUAUUCAAAAGCUGCUAUGUCUGACAUUGUGUAUGUCACUAGGUAUAUCACAGGUUACACCACAUGAAAUAUGAUUAGUCUUUUAUUGUAAAUUGGGAUGGAACAAAGUAGAUUUGAUGAAAGCAAGCAGCAAUAGUCACCCCUAAUAAGUCAAGUGAGAUCUGUGUUUAAGUAAAAUAUUUCAUAAUUAAAAAAAGAAGUACAUUAAAGUUAGUAGAAAUGCUGAAAGUCAUUUUUAUGUCUUGAACUGUAAUAAAACAGGCACCUUAGAUUUUGAACUGACAUAUUAAAAGUAAUUUCCGCAUCAUCCAAAGUUUUAUCUUGACACUAGCUGCUGUGCCUGCAUGUUACUGUUCACUUUAUGGCCUCAAGAAUCUAGUGUCAUAAUGCAAAUGUACAAUUUGUAUUAUGAAAUACAUUUAUAUGAAUAUUAUAUGAUAUAUUCAUAUUCCCGUAUGUGAUCUUACGGUAUCAUUGUUGUGUGAAGCACACCUGACACGUACUGCUUUGUGCUCUGGAGGACUUUAUGUUCAAUGCAGCAUCAGGUGUGUUUACUGCGGCUGCAGCCAGUGAUUCAAACACAGUGCCAUCGCCGUCAUGCACACGGAGAGACUUUACAUUUUAAAUGGCACAACUGUUGUUUUCAAGAGACAGCUGUAGUUACUGCAGUUGUGCUCUGUAAAUAAAAGUGACACUUUAUGUCUUUCCGUCAUUACAUUGGUGCAAGUAACUUCGUCGCCGACUGUAGCGAGUAUCUUGUUACACACCCCCGUACACACCGCCACAAUGAGAGAGUCUGCAGCUCUUAUUUUGGCUGAUCUCUCCUGAAUUGUAAGUCCUGUCAGAGGCUUUGAUUGAUAGUUAUGUUUAUCACCAUAUUAUUAAGUAAUCAGGCUCACCACAGCCAGGCCUGAAGCUCCUUAAUUCAAGCUAAAGCACACGGCGUCAUGCUAAUUAAGGGUUUGGCGAAAUAGUAUAUUUUUGUGAAUAAAAAAAAAGAGAAGAGAAUAUAUAUAUACAUAUAUAUAUAUAUAUAUAUAUAUAUAUUGUAACAUUUAGUACGAGACUUUUUGAUGUUUACCAGAAAGAUGAUACAGGGACAGUGGAGUGUCAACAUCUAUCUAUACACUAUUUUACAUGACUGUUAAACCUGCAAAUUGACAAUAAGGUACACAAAGUACAGUCCAGUAUGUCCGUAUAUGACACGAGAAGGUCAAUCAGUCUAUGUUCUGUGUAUCAGCAGAGGUUCUCUCUCGCUUCGUUAAUAUAGCCUGUGGCAGCCUGCGUUUGUGUAUUUCUGAGGUAAACACAGUCAUGGCAAAGUGGACAUGCUGCUGAGUGUGUCCUGACUGGAGACAGAGAGCACUGUGGCACUGUACUGGCUGAGACACUGGCAGCUCGCUAGAGCCAGGGUUAAUGUGAUGAAUGGCCAUUUGGUAAUGGGCCAUGUAUUAAGGUGAACUAGCUCUUUUAAAAGCCGGAGCUGGAGCCGUUGCUAUGGGCAAUUUGAUUCAGAAAUCAAUCAGGUGGCAGAUGUUUCAUGUUGGAUCAGUCAACUCUGUCUUGCUGUCUCUUUCAACCAAAUGAAGGAAGAAUUGCUCGAAUUACUGCAUUUAGCAAUCAAAGGAAAGUUUAAAAUCACUCCGUCAAAAACAUCAGCGGGCUGAAAAAAAAACAUGGGCAAAAACAAUUUUAGGAACUGUAUACAAAAACCGAUGGAUCCUCAAACAAGGAGACAGACCGUGAUCAUAUUUAUUUCAUUAAUGCCGCACUGUAGGCACUCUUGUUCCUAGACUGUGUGUGUGUACCGCCUCAGAGUCAGGCAGCCAGGAUACUGUGCUUAUCAAUGAGGAGCUGCACGACUCAUUUGUAGAAAUGAUUGGACACAAGUUACAUUUCUAUUAAAAAAAAUACCUAUGUGUAUGUCCUGGAUAUUCAGAUUUAGGCAUUUAUCCUCAAAGUGAAAUAGAUAAUGUGCACCAUUUUACAUAUCCCUCACAACUAUUGUAUUAUUAAGCCUAUUAGUAGUAGAGUUGUUUAUGUAUAUAAAGGUGUUUUGUGCCAUAUUGCCUAUUACUAUCCUACUGUAUCCUUUUUUAUCAUUAUGUGAUGUUUUUUUAUCCGAACCCUAACCCUUAUACAUAAUGACUUUUACAUUGUUUUGUCAAUAUUUCCAGGGCGCCACAGUGUUUUGGACGUAACGGUAAUAAUUGGAUUUAGUUUUCCAAUUUCAUUUCAGGAAUAAAAUGUUGGAAUUG